CUGCUGUAGCGAGAGGCAGCUUGGCAGGCGAGGACCCGCAGCCCAGCGCCUGAGCCAGCCUGGUUUCCCACCUCAGGCCCUGCAGCUUUUACCUGUUUCUGAGUGCAGCACCCAGGAGCGGGGAAGGUUUUUGAACCUGGGAAGUGAUGCCAGGAGCUGUUGUUUCAGAGAAUAAGAAGCCUGGGUUUAUGAGCAUACGUGUAAGAUACGCCUUUGAAUGCGUAUCGUGAAAAUCUACACUGAGAAAAUGUAUAGCAUACAAAUGCCCAGUACAGCAUGUGCCAGUUUUUCUGGAGUCUCAGAAGAGAAGGAACAUCUCCAGAAAAUGCUGAGGUUACAACACCCAGAUAAAACCUGCUUGUGCUACCUUUAUAACGAUACAGGCGGGUUAGUCUCACAGAGAGCAAAUGCACUGGUGAGCUGGGGAUGCUUGCCAGACUUCUCUUGCUUCUUCUUCUAUGAUCUGCCAAAUCGUUAGCUGGCUGGAGGGUGAAUUAAG